rnacentral:rRNA from 1 species
UACAGAGGUCUCAAGCGUUGUUCGGAUUCAUUGGGCGUAAAGGGUGCGUAGGUGGCGCCGUAAGUGGGGUGUGAAAUCUCGGGGCUUAACUCCGAAACUGCAUUCGAUACUGCCGUGCUUGAGGACUGGAGAGGAGACUGGAAUUUACGGUGUAGCGGUGAAAUGCGUAGAUAUCGUAAGGAAGACCAGUGGCGAAGGCGGGUCUCUGGACAGUUCCUGACGCUGAGGCACGAAGGCCAGGGGAGCAAACGGG